GGGGAUGUUCUGGAUUCGUCACGGCAUGGCGUCCAGUAUAAGCAUGUCAUGGUUGCUCAUGUAAAAAAGCCGAGGUUAUAAUAACCGGAAACCAAUCUUUACAAUUCGCUGCCUAAGAAAAGGUGCGUGCCAACUCUGAAUUUACUUACGGUUCUGAUGCGGUCCAACUUUAGUAAGUUAUCUCUAACACUGUUCCUAGAACGUUAGACGAAUCACAUAGGAUAGUAUCAAGAGCAUUUGUUCAUCUCGCUUUUGGUAUGAAUUCAUAAAUGAACUAAACAUGUAGAAAGUGCUGCACAAAGUGUCUUGCACAGGGGUUCAAAUCCCCUCAUCUCCACCA
rnacentral:tmRNA from 12 species